rnacentral:rRNA from 1 species
AGCCAGACUCCUACGGGAGGCAGCAGUGGGGAAUAUUGCACAAUGGGGGAAACCCUGAUGCAGCGACGCCGCGUGAGCGAUGAAGUAUUUCGGUAUGUAAAGCUCUAUCAGCAGGGAAGAAAAUGACGGUACCUGAUUAAGAAGCCCCGGCUAACUACGUGCCAGCAGCCGCGGUAAUACGUAGGGGGCAAGCGUUAUCCGGAUUUACUGGGUGUAAAGGGAGCGUAGACGGUGAUGCAAGUCAGAAGUGAAAGCCCGGGGCGCAACUCCGGGACUGCUUUUGAAACUGUGUAACUGGAGUGCAGGAGAGGUAAGCGGAAUUCCUGGUGUAGCGGUGAAAUGCGUAGAUAUCAGGAGGAACACCAGUGGCGAAGGCGGCUUACUGGACUGUAACUGACGUUGAGGCUCGAAAGCGUGGGGAGCAAACAGGAUUAGAUACCCCUGUA